rnacentral:lncRNA from 1 species
UUCGGUAUCAUAGGUUCUCCUCGAUGAAGGUUCUUUCCCUUUCCAAUAAACGCCCCUAUUUCCUCCAGUGUGGGAGUAAGCUCAAAGUCGGAGAAUCGGAAUACGUUGUUUGAAGGAUCCCAAAACUGUACCAAAGAUUCUAUCACGUCUCUUCGUGGUUCAACAUUCAACAGACUCCUUAAAAAUCCCAAGUGUUUAUAUACCUCUCCCUGUUCAUAGUCAGUCAUAUUGUUAUACCAUAUCCGCAAUAGCUUUGGAACUUUAUCCAACACCAUGAAAUGGGGUACUUCAUCAUCCCUCGGCCUCUUGUCACUCCUUCCAACUGAGUUCAUAUUGCCCUAUAGGAUAAUGAUGACAAAUAAGAAUUCUAUUGUAAACCUCCUGAAGCAGGACGAAAAUAAUUUUCGAAAGAGGUUGACAAGAUGACACGGAAUAAGAUUUCAAAAUGAGCAUGAGAAAAUAACAACUGACAAAACGGGAAGUAUCCAAGUUUUCUCAAACAUCCUAAAGUAGAGACAAUAAUUUGAGGACGUUUGAACCAGACAGAUUAAAUUAUUAAAAUAGCAUAGUGGACCAAUUUUUUUUUUUUAAAAUGUUUGACAAAAAUGUGCUCUAUGAUAUUCCUGAGAAAGAUUUUAAAACAAAAAAAAACAGACAUAACGAGACCAUAACGUUAGAACGCCAUAAUCUCUAAAAAA